UAGCAAACAGCUGCUGCAACAAGCAGCACACCCUCACAAACUGCAGCGAAGGACUUUGAUGCGUGUGUGAUGUCCUAAGACGACACCUCCUCGGACCACUUCCCCUCAAAUUGACACCAGUGGUCGUAGUCAUUAAUAGUGCGCAGCCGAGUGGGGGAAAGUGGUCUGGAAAGCAGCGUAGCAACAACGUGAGGUGUCAUCCUCCUCUCUCUGUAGCAUGCAGCUGCGCUCAUUUGUGUACAGUGUAUUAUUGUCGCGUGCAAAAGAACCAGUCCUGGUGAGAGCAGCAGCUGCGAUUUAUUGACGCUCCAGGAUGCCCCAUCCCCUAAACCCACCCCUUUUACCCUCCCCCUCCUUUACACCCUCUAAUUUAAGAACGGCUACUUGUGUGUGCGACACACAGAAGACUGUCAUCUUGAGUGGUUGCUGCAUUUACAAUGUUCACUGUUGUUUGUAUUUUAACACUACUGCAUCUUUACUUUUUUUUGUUGCUCUUAACAAUAUACACAAAUCCUGCAGCAAGCUCGCAAAAAAGAAAAAAAAAAAAGCCGUGUGACUCUACUCAUUUGUGUCCUCUGUGUUCUUAUUUCAAUAUUUUCACGUCUGUGGUCCUCUCUGAAAGUUUAUGGGGCAUGGUUUCCAUGAAAAAGCUCAAUUUUUUCAACGUUUGGGCAUGCAUUCUGGAAUUCAAACUUGCAUAUUGUAGUAGUACAUACCUCAAACUUUACAUUUGUAACUCCUUUACAGGCUGCAAGCUCAGACAUGAAGAUCCAGGUUUUGCAUGAAACCUGCCCUCCAUAAAGCUUGAAUCUGUUGCACAAUUUGCAUUGCCGCCCGACACAUUCCCUGACACAACGCCCCCAAUCUAGCGUGCACCUAUUUUUUAUUAUUUCAAUGUACAAACUAACAUACAAAUGACAGAACUCCUAAACGAAGUAGAAACCAAAUAUCUACUUGAUUUUUAAUUUUUUUUAGAUGUGGCAUGCCAAAGAUUCCGGCAAUUGGAGAAAGAUGAAACCAAUUAUAAACACCUUUAAAGGAUGGAAAUUUAAACACUUUGUUAGUUUGCCCUGCUACGCAUACAAUUCUUGGUAACGCAGUGAACGUUUGACAUAACUUUGUUAAUUGGCGCUAGCUUAAAAUGUAAAAAAAACUUUUUUUAAAUGGGCUUUUGUAAUCAAAGACAAUAAAGCGGCGCUGUAGAGUUUCUCUAACAGGGUGUCGUUGACCUUCGCGAGAACAUAUUCUGUAGAAAUCUUUUGAUGAUGACAGCGCUGGUUUUGACGUAGGUUUUUGCAACACCACGAGCUCAAUUUCAUUCUCGAUUGCACUGCACGUACAAGCAAUUUUCCGAUCAAUUUUCUUAGGAAAAAAGGUCACAGGACGGUUACGAGUGUUUAACGCGAAUGUUUAAGCGUUAGCUGUGUUGCAGGCUAGGCGUUUUUGCUCCAAAUCUCGAGUUCGCUGAAUCGCUUGGGGGUCUGAAGAACCUACUUCCUCCAUGUCAUUUCAGUGCAAAGGAUGUUCUACAUAACAUUCUCAUUUAAACUGCUGCGCUUCUCUCCCAUGUUCGAGUGCCUGCCGGCCUUCUAAGCAUAAGAGUGGCUUGGGCGAGCUGGUACAGUGUACUUGGUAAGAUGAUGCCAGCAAAUGGAGGUGCCGACGCCGUGAUGUCAAACGCGAUCUGAUUACUGCAACCCGGCGGCAAAACUUCCAUCUGGUGGUGUUACAGGAAACCUUGCUUUGCGUCUCGUCACCGAGCACUCGUCUCGUUGAUAGGAGUGCCUUCUGGCAACUGUCUCGUUCACCUCUCUCGCUGCGUACGGCGCCAGUGGCAUGAAACUGAGCAAUGAGCUAAGAAACGCUGAUGGUUCAAAACGCGCCUAACUCGGCAAUCGUUCAUUGUAAGCUGCGGCCAUCGUUUAAAAUUUGAUAAGGACAAGCCGAAAAUAGACGUUAUCGGCGGGAGAUAACGUUCCACGCAUUCACUGCCCCCCUAGCGCCGCUAAGACACUGCAGCCGUUGAGGUCACUAUUUGGGGCAUACGUGUUCGUUCCGACCAGUGAAGUUUAAAUUAUCCGGUGGGCGUCAAUUUCAGGAUCGAGAAAAAAAAAAUUCAGAGCCCUUCCACUUCUGUGAAGAUAGAAGCCAGCGAAGCUGUGACUAUGGUGGGUCUGCUGUAGUGAAUAUUGCUAUAGUGAAUUUAUAUAUUAUCAUUAUUGAUUAUAUUGAGCAUCUUCGGCAUGUUCGUCAAAGAGCAAGGACACCGGCGUCUUGUUUUCGCCCGGAGCGAUGGCCAAGUAGUGCGUCUGCUGCGCCAAGUCCGCAUCAUCGUCAUAGACUAGCGUAUGAGCCACAGCGUUCAUAGCCGCGGCACACUGCACGGCAGCGUCAGUAUCCUGAGAGAUCUCUCCCACUCCUGCUCUCGGCGGCUCAUACCCACAUAUCCAACGCGGGUAUGAGCCACACGUGAUUUAUCUCUUACCUUCCUUCCUUCUUUCUUUAUUGUCCCUGACUCAUACCCGUAUAUCCAAUGUGGCAUGUGCCACACGUGAUUUUAUUGUUAAUUGCGACGUAACUGACGAGCAUGUGAUAUUGAUGUCAUGGCCUUAUCAGUCAUGUUAGUCAUCCUUUUUGACUCCUGUGCUAAGGCCCAAGUGGCUGGAAACCGCCACGCACAUGGAGCCAAACCGCCACACAUAUGGAGCCGAAAUGCUGAUGAUGAUAGUUUUUUUAUAAACGUGGACACGAUCCUGGGGGAACUAGCCCUUAACAGCUUCGCUGUAAAAAAAGUCAAAGUUUUGGUCCAAUGAAGUGCGUAGACGUCGGUCAGGAUCGAAUUAAACGAAAACAUCGAAUUAGCCGGAGUCGAAUUAAAAGUCUACUGUAUAAGUGUGCUGGUGCUGUCGGCUAUGUAGCACUAGGCGCAUUCACAAGAAUGCUACAAUGGCACAGCGCAUCGCAUUUAUCGAGUGCGAAUGUUGUAUCCAUGUAAACGGCGGAAGCGCGCUAUAGGCGGGCGAAUCGCAUUGAUUUGCCCGGCGAGGGUAUGUGUUAAAAACUUAACUAGUGAAUUAUUGCUAAUAAUUAGCCGAUUAUGCAUUUCAAUGCUUUGUGCAAGUAAUGUCCGCCUCUUCGAGUAGACCAGCUCGUGAACGACAAUUGUACUAUCUGCCACAGGCAUUUAAACAUUUUUGAAAGAGUUCGCUGAAACACCCUGUAUAGUAUGUUUGCAAUGCAAAAUUGGUCAGUCUUACCUUGGGCAUUGUCUUGCUAAGUAAUAAAUUAACGAUAAAAAGGAAAGGGCGUGUGUAGCGACGCCAGUGUAAAGCUAUCGCAACCACUAACGUCAUCGAGUUUUGUCAACGCCUGCUCGGUAAUAAUGGGCAGAAUAGCUUUCUAUUAAGAAAUGAUUGCAUCGCAUUCCAAGAGUAAGCAGUGACAGCCCGAGAAACUUAUCGAAAAUUUCAGCUUUCAGGAGCGCCAAAUUAGUAGGGGUGUGCUAACAUGCAUAUUCGAAAUUCCGAAUAAACGUCGAAUAGUCCUCGCUCUUUGAUUCGUAUUCUAUUCCGAGAAUUCACUAUUCGAAACAAUCGAAUAGUCUUUUGUUUACGAAUAUAAUGGAUAACAACACUUAUCGAAAUCUCAAGGGACAGAGGCCCAUACAAGUAUGAGGUCGACUUUCUAAUAAGUUCUGCAGGAGCGCCAUGGUUGCUGCGCAGAGAUGCAAGUUCCUGGGCGAACACACGGGGCAGAUAAGUUCUGCUCGGUAAUUUCCAGUCAUUCACAAAGAAUAGCUCGCUUAGCCUAUAUACCAGUUUGUGGUCUCGAUUUAGACAAAACGAUUUAUUAUUUGGCCAGUCUCACCGUGUUUGCGUCCCUUGAAAUCAAUGUGCGGUGCAAAGUAUCUUCAACGAACACAACUCUGUACUGCGUGCAUCUGGUGACGUGCCCUUGCUUCACCUGGUGUUUUCGUGGUGCACUAGAUAACUUAAUGUAGUUGCUUCUUAUUCACAAGCUAUUCAAUUUAACAGAUGUCUAGUUGCGAACGCUAUUACAUGCAUGUAUCAAAUAAUGUAAACAAGUAUUUUUUAACGCGAUAGCGUUAAGGGCCCCGUAUGGCCGAAAAUCCGGUGUCGGCGGCGUUGCUCCCUAGUGAAAAAUCAUCCCGAACCACGCGUAGCGCACGGGCGCGUUACGGAACUAAUUGAAUUUCUCAAAGUAAAAUGUGUCAGAAAAUUCGUAAAGUACGACUUACACACAGCCUACAGACAUGAUAGCCUCGGAUUAUAAUUUGAAUAUACGAGAAAACAUAAUUCUGUUACGCGGUAACUGAAACACAAACCCCCUUUCCAGCUGCCGUUUAAGCUUCUAUUUGAGGACCGAGCGGCGCGCCCCGCUCGGUUCCUUGCAACACCACCCAGAUGGCGCUUACCUCCGCGCAUCUAUAGAGUCGCUGGAAACUACGCAUCUAUAAAGCCCUUGGAAAAAAAAAAUGUCCAGUUUUUUUUUUUUUUUUUUCCCAGGGGCCUUACGCAUCUGCGGGAGCGGCGGCGCCCGCCGUGCGGAAAAAAAAAAAAAGACCCAGAAAGCUCGCCGCCAGCGUUUCUAGGUAAACAUUACUGUUACAUAAGCUGCAUUUGCCGAGAAGCGUGAGAAGCAGUCAGGGAUCUAUGAAUGCUAUCGCGUUCCACUCUUAAAGGCGAAGCUCACGCGUCCUCCAAGUUUUAUUGGAGGGCGCAUAAACACGUUGCGGGGCUAAUUGGUGAUGCAUUAUUUUUUCUUUCUUACGAAAGCAAUCCAGCGCUACUUUUCAAGACCUGUCACGGUCUUGUCAUGACAGGUCCUGUCAUGUCUUUCUGUGUCCUCGUCUUGAAAAGUAGCGCUGGAUUACUUUCGUAAGAAAGGAAUAAUAAAACAAUAAAGUUUUAUUAUUUUUAUUAUUUUAGUUUCUAACGAAACAGACUCGACGGAAGCUUUAUAUUUACCGAGCAUGUGACUUACCAUGCGUGGUCUUAUUGCGGCUUCGGCCUCUCUCCUCUCCCUCUAUCUGCAUUGUUUCUCGGCGAAGACCCGCUUUUUGACAUGAAAUCAGUUUUAUCUUUUUUUAUUAUACAACCGAGCGAUCCGUGGCUCAUCUUCUCUAUAGAGGUUGAUGUUGCGGCAGUAGCAUUUAUAGCGUGCGCCUCCAGACCCUUUCGUUCGAGGGUUCUGGGCAAACAUAGGCGUUCUUACAUUUAUACGUCUUGGUAUAUCAUCCCUUUAUAGCGUACAUGUUAUGGUGCAGCACGCCUCAUGAGCCAUUGUCAUAUUUUUAAUACAUAUAUAUUUUACGCAAUUUAAAGCGAAUGUUUCAUACAGUCAUGUUACAUCUACACUACGUAACUCAUUGUUCUGGUGAAACUCGUGAUCACUUGGAUGGCGCUAUUUGGCCAGACCUGGCCCUUUCAACACUAAACACCACAAAUCACCGUCAUCUCUCUCUCCUUAACGAAAGGUGGCGACCUAAUCGGCCGAUUGACUACUCUAUAUAAACAAUUGUGCGAAUCACUCAAUAUAGUUCUGUGCCGUUUGAGAUACAACGACGGCUGUCCCUCUACCCGCUCUAUUUUUUUUUCUCUUAUAUCGAAGAAACGCGUAUGUGCAACAUGGCCCUAGGAAUGCUAACUCUGUAAAAGCGUUCGUCAGAGGUAGCUUCUCCACAAUAAGAGACCUUGUGGGGAGAAGCUUGAUUUACGCGGGGAGAAGCCUUCGUCCUGCAGUGGACAUAAACAUAGGCUCAUCAUGAUGAUGGUGAUAAGCUUUAUCUCGGAAAAAAAUUAUGUGAAAAAAAAAUGCAAUUUGUACUACACAGAGAUUAUUUGAAUAAAAAAUGUGAGAUUCGGUUUAAAAAAUAAAGUGCUUUAUUCUGUUUGUGCUGAAAGAGAGAUUUCUUGAUUUUAACAGAAAUGGUCCCCAUACGGUAAAGUUCAAAAUUUGUCAUCCCUACUGUAAGCGCAAUGAUAUUUGUUCGCCUCUUUACUAUCCUCAAUAACAUUUGCGUGCAGCAUCACCAGCCACGUAAGUAUAGGCGGAUUGAUGGCACAUGCACGAGCCAAUUGAUCUUAGUUUCUGAACAAGAUGCAGCUGCAAUCAGGGCGAGACAUGUCACUUGGAGCAUGGCUGUAUACAGACUCGUAGAGCGGAUGCUCGGGUGUGUCGCGCAGUGGCGGAUGUAUUGUCGCUGGGUGUCUCAAUUGUCGCACCUCGUAUGUUUUACGUAGCGCGCUUAUCUGUACUUGUACAAUCUGUUACAGCCGCCAUCCCAGCAUUUGACUCUUUCGUGCGCCAUAUAAAAGCUGCAGUCAUGAGGGAAGUAAAGGUUACUCCCAUAAACUGAUAGACUAUGCAACACGUUUUUUUUUUCUUAUUAUUUUUUCUCUGUAUAAGAUGAAUUUCUGUAAAUCGCAUCGACGUCGAAGUUCAUAGUGAGAGGGGCUCUACCAGAUUUACUUUUUUAUCUUCUCCCACCGUAAUCGCCUGGAGAAGCAUGACAGGCGUACGGCUAGGUCAACCUCUUGAACUGUAAAGCACUUCCUUAAUUUAUAUCCGCCAGUGUCUUCGGAAUCGAGUAAUGUAAUCCAAUUGCCAAUUGCUAUACAUCAUCAUUGCCUAAAGCAACGUGCAAUGGUGAUGAGUAAUAGCGACAGAUAUUUUUUUCUUUUCAAAAUUGUUUUUAAAUGUUUUCUUUAAACACAACUGAACAUCAAAGAAAAUUAUAGCAAAUUGUUCGCAUUUAUUUUUGUAUAUGGAGAGAACAUUCAUACAAAACAAUAAAAUAAUAAUUAAUUAAACAUUAGUACGAUAAAUAAUUAAUAAUUUAUUGGUUUGAUGAAUCAUACACAGCCGAAACUCCCUCCACAGCGUAUUAAAACCACUAUAAUAGUUUUUUUCGCAUACUUUUCAGUGCUUAAAUCCAAAUUUUGAGGUAUAUAAUUUACCCUAUCAAAAAUAAUACAUUGGCAUACCUGCCAACUGUCCCGAAUUUCCCCUAAGGUUUACGAUUUUGGGCCCAUUCUCCGAUUUUACGAAUAAUACGCCGUGUUAUAAAUUCUCUUCGCGAAAGGUAUUGAAGCUGUUUAUAUAUGGGGCAGA